CGCGACAACAGACGCGGACAGAGCAGAGAGGAGCCCCCGACGGCAGGUACACCCUGGGCGGAGAGGGCCGCCUGACAGUAUCCUUGGCAUUGGCAUUGGCGUUAGACGAGCUCAGCCAGGAGAAUCACAAGAUACCAGGACGGACAGAUUGCUCGCAAAUGGACUCUGUGUACUAGUGGGAUUGGUCCAUGUGGAGUCAGCUCAAGUGUGUCAUGAUUGCUUAUUUCCUGUAUUUUAUUUUAAUUGUUUUUUAAAUAAAUUAGGCGAUAUCGGCUAAACUGUAUUCGA